rnacentral:rRNA from 1 species
UUGAACGCUGGCGGCGUGCCUAACACAUGCAAGUCGAGCGGUAACAGGUGUAGCAAUACAUGCUGACGAGCGGCGGACGGGUGAGUAACGCUUGGGAAUCUGCCUGUUAGUGGGGGACAACCCGGGGAAACUCGGGCUAAUACCGCAUACGCACUACGGUGGAAAGCCGGGGACCGCAAGGCCUGGCGCUAACAGAUGAGCCCAAGUCGGAUUAGCUAGUUGGUAGGGUAACGGCCACCAAGGCGACGAUCCGUAACUGGUCUGAGAGGACGACCAGUCACACCGGAACUGAGACACGGUCCGGACUCCUACGGGAGGCAGCAGUGGGGAAUAUUGGACAAUGGGCGAAAGCCUGAUCCAGCGAUGCCGCGUGUGUGAAGAAGGCCUGCGGGUUGUAAA